GGAUUAUACCCUUGCAAGAAGUAUGAACUCCGGCAUGCCGUCGUGGCUCAGUAAUCUUGAAUCGAUCGCAGCGGGUUUUCGUGACCUACAUCUUCAGGUGGCACCAGAAACGGCUAAGGAGAACGACAGUGAAGACUCUUUCUGGACAAAUCGCACUGCAGCUGCUGAGUUGAAAAAGCAGCAGGUUGCAGAGCUUGAGGACCAAGAAAGAAGUAUAACGACCACCUCCAUGCCUGACAAAAGCGCAGUAGAGCUGCGAUGCACAGUACGGAAAUGGCAGCG